UACGGAGGAAAAGAAACCAACAGGGAUUACCUCAGUAACGGCGAGUGAAGCGGUAACAGCUCAAAUUUGAAAUCUGGCGCUUUCAGCGUCCGAGUUGUAAUUUGUAGAAGAUGCUUUGGGUGUGGCUCCGGUCUAAGUUCCUUGGAACAGGACGUCAUAGAGGGUGAGAAUCCCGUAUGUGACUGGCUGCCUUCGCCCGUGUAAAGCUCUUUCGACGAGUCGAGUUGUUUGGGAAUGCAGCUCUAAAUGGGAGGUAUAUUUCUUCUAAAGCUAAAUAUUGGCCAGAGACCGAUAGCGCACAAGUAGAGUGAUCGAAAGAUGAAAAGCACUUUGGAAAGAGAGUUAAACAGUACGUGAAAUUGUUGAAAGGGAAGCGCUUGCAACCAGACUUGCCUGCGGUCGAUCAUCCUGGGUUCUCCCUGGUGCACUCGAUCGUGGUCAGGCCAGCAUCGGUUUCGGUGGUGGGAUAAAGGCCUUGGGAAUGUAGCAGUCUUCGGGCUGUGUUAUAGCCCUCGGUGCAAUGCCGCCUACCGGGACCGAGGACCGCGCUUCGGCUAGGAUGCUGGCGUAAUGGUUGUAAG
rnacentral:rRNA from 1 species